CGCACAGCGGAGGACAUGUGGUUUAAUUCGAUGAUACGCGAGGAACCUUACCCGGGCUCAAACGGCGGAGGACAGGCGCAGAGACGUGCCCUCCUUCGGGUCUCCGCCGAGGUGCUGCAUGGUUGUCGUCAGCUCGUGCCGUGAGGUGUCGGCUUAAGUGCCAUAACGAGCGCAACCCCUGCCGGCAGUUGCUAACGGUUAAAGCCGAGGACUCUGCCGGGACUGCCGGCGCAAGCCGCGAGGAAGGCGGGGAUGACGUCAAAUCAGCACGGCCCUUACGUCCGGGGCGACACACGUGUUACAAUGGGUGGCACAGAGGGAAGCCAGGUGGCGACACCGAGCGGAACCCGAAAUCCACUCUCAGUUCGGAUCGGAGUCUGCAACCCGACUCCGUGAAGCUGGAUUCGCUAGUAAUCGCGCAUCAGCCAUGGCGCGGUGAAUACGUUCCCGGGCCUUGUUACACACCGCCCGU
rnacentral:rRNA from 1 species